GACGUAGGGGACCAGCGUUGUUCGGAAUUACUGGGUGUAAAGGGUUCGUAGGCGGUGCGGCAAGUUGGGAGUGAAAUCUCUGGGCUUAACCCAGAGGCUGCUUCCAAAACUGCUGUGCUUGAGUGUGGGAGAGGCGCGUGGAAUUCCAGGUGUAGCGGUGAAAUGCGUAGAUAUCUGGAGGAACACCGGUGGCGAAGGCGGCAUCCUGGACCAACACUGACGCUGAGGAGCGAAAGCCAGGGGAGCAAACGGG
rnacentral:rRNA from 1 species